rnacentral:lncRNA from 1 species
UGUAUUAGAUUAGAUUUAAAGGACUGUUAUUAUGUUUCUGUAGCUAGUCGGAAUUUAAUUUUCAUAUCUGUGCUAGCACAAAAAUAUUUUGAAAUUAGUUUCAAUAAAGACUUUUGUUUCAUUUAUUUACAAAAUAAAUUGAUUGCAUGAGGUCAUUUAAUUGACAGUCUUUAUCACUUAUAUGUUGAUACGAAUGUGAACUUAAACGAGCA